GAGUUUGAUUCGGCUCAGGAUGAACGCUGGCGGCGUGCUUAACACAUGCAAGUCGAACGCACCUUCGGGUAGUGGCGGACGGGUGAGUAACGCGUGGGAACCUGCCCUCAGGAGGGGGAUAACGGCUGGAACGGCCGCUAAUACCCCAUAUGCCGAGAGGUGAAACGAAUUUCGCCUGAGGAUGGGCCGCGUCUGAUUAGCUAGUUGGUGGGGUAAAGGCCUACCAAGGCGACGAUCAGUAGCUGGUUGAGAGGACGAUCAGCCACACUGGGACUGAGACACGGCCCAGACUCCUACGGGAGGCAGAGUGGGGAAUUUUGGACAAUGGGGGCAACCCUGAUCCAGCAAUGCCGCGUGAGUGAAGAGGCCUUCGGGUUGUAAACUGCUUUUGUACGGAACGAAAAGGUUUCUAUUAAUACUAGGACUCAUGACGGUACCGUAAGAAUAAGCACCGGCUAACUCUGUGCCAGCAGCCGCGGUAAU
rnacentral:rRNA from 1 species